GUGGGGAAUUUUGGACAAUGGGCGCAAGCCUGAUCCAGCAAUGCCGCGUGCAGGAAGAAGGCCUUCGGGUUGUAAACUGCUUUUGUACGGAACGAAACGGUCCUGGUUAAUACCCGGGGCUGAUGACGGUACCGUAAGAAUAAGCACCGGCUAACUACGUGCCAGCAGCCGCGGUAAUACGUAGGGUGCAAGCGUUAAUCGGAAUUACUGGGCGUAAAGCGUGCGCAGGCGGUGCUGUAAGACAGGCGUGAAAUCCCCGGGCUUAACCUGGGAAUUGCGCUUGUGACUGCAGUGCUGGAGUGCGGCAGAGGGGGAUGGAAUUCCGCGUGUAGCAGUGAAAUGCGUAGAUAUGCGGAGGAACACCGAUGGCGAAGGCAAUCCCCUGGGCCUGCACUGACGCUCAUGCACGAAAGCGUGGGGAGCAAACAGGAUUAGAAACCCUUGUAGUCC
rnacentral:rRNA from 1 species